CACGACACCGGAGAGGGAGCCUGAGAAACGGCUACCACAUCCAAGGAUGGCAGCAGGCGCGCAAAUUACCCAAUCCCGACACGGGGAGGUAGUGACAAUAAAUAACAAUACGGGGUUCUUUAGGAUCUCGUAAUUGGAAUGAGUACAAUUUAAAUCUCUUAACGAGGAACAAUUGGAGGGCAAGUCUGGUGCCAGCAGCCGCGGUAAUUCCAGCUCCAAUAGCGUAUAUUAAAGUUGUUGCAGUUAAAAAGCUCGUAGUUGAAUUUCGGGGUUAGUAGGUUGGUCAUGCCUCUGGUAUGUACUGGUCUCACUGAUUCCUCCUUCCUUAUGAACCGUAAUGCCAUUAAUUUGGUGUUGCGGGGAAUUUGGACUGUUACUUUGAAAAAAUUAGAGUGUUUAAAGCAAGCUAACGCUUGAAUACAUUAGCAUGGAAUAAUGAAAUAGGACGUUCGAUCUUAUUUUGUUGGUUUCUAGGAUUGACGUAAUGAUUAAUAGGGAUAGUUGGGGGCAUUAGUAUUCAAUUGUCAGAGGUGAAAUUCUUGGAUUUAUUGAAGACUAACUACUGCGAAAGCAUUUGCCAAGGAUGUUUUCAUUAAUCAAGAACGAAAGUUAGGGGAUCGANNNCGAUCAGAUACCGUCGUAGUCUUAACCAUAAACUAUGCCGACUAGGGAUCGGAUGAUGUUAAUUUUUUAAUGACUCAUUCGGCGCCUUACGGGAAACCA
rnacentral:rRNA from 1 species